GAGCACAGAGCAAAUGGCGACCGGGGCAAAUUAAAGACUCGCUCCAGUGCACUGCCAGUGAAAGGGCAAAAACAAGUCUGAGAGGGGAAAGGAGGUGCUUUUCUAGAGUGAAAAUUCCACUUCUUGAAGAGGUUAGCUGUGGGCUUUUGGAGACGAGGGGGCAUAGAGACCUCAGUAAGCUGCAGGUGUGGCUUUCUUGCUGGAGAUGGACAUUAUGAGAGACACGCUGUACAGAAUGAUUCUACAAAAGGACUACGAGUGUGGACUCUGGAUACCAGCGCUGAUGCUGGUUAAUGAUUGGUUGAGGGGGGCUGAUUGCUGAUUGGUGGACAACAACGUUUGAUGAAACCCCACGGUCACUGUGACUAAUCACUCACAUUGUGACAUCUCACAAACAUGCCUCUUCAAAAGCAUAAACGCAAAACAUGUAUACAAUCUACAAGUGGACAUGCACAUCUAUAUGAAGACUCACCUGGAUCUGUUGCUGCAGGAGGUUGAUUUUGUGUUGUUGCUGCAGAAGUUGCUGCUGUUGUCGUGCAAUCUGUGGACAGAACAUGUCAAACUGUCAGAUAUGUCAAACUGUUUUUUCAAGAAGAGAGGAGAUUAUUUGUGCAGAUGGGUUCACAUGCCUGUAUGGUGACGGUAAACUGUGUGUUUGAA